AUCUAAUAGGGUGAAGGCUAGCAUCAUGAGCAUAUUAUGGAGAUAAAGAAUAUUGCAGCAUAGUAAUCUGAUAUUAAGUUUUCAUAUCAGAUACCCUUUUGGUCUACUUUAUUUUUACUUCUCUUCCAUUAGAGUAUGAUCUCUUUAAAGAUCUCCUAUAAGUAUAUAUAAUGAGGAUUAGACAGUUGGUGAAUUACUAACUAAAUGUAUGCAAAUGAAGAAGAGAUUAAGAGAGGAGAAGACAAAAGUGUGAACUUUACAUCAUAUCAAAUUAGUGAAAAAGCAGAUAAAGAAAAGAUGCAUCCAAUACAAAAAGAGAAAAGUAUUUGAUGUGGCAAUAGGUGAAGCCAUUAAUAAGAUUAUCAAAUGCUUCUUCUGCAUA
rnacentral:lncRNA from 1 species